AGGGGCAAGGGCAGGCAGAUCUACAUCCCAAUUCUUCCAGGGCAGGACUUCUCCCGGAAGCCUCUUGCUGAAUAAAUAAAUACACAUUAAGGAGUCAAAAUGAAAAGUUCCCUCUCUCCGUUACUCUAUGAACGUCCAGUGGCCACAUAUAUAUCUAGUAAUUACCAUACUGAAUGCUUUGGAGAAUUUUCUGUUGAUGCGGACAGAGUUCAAGCAGACGUCUUGUACUUUGGAUCUGACAGCCUCCCGUCUCCUGUGAAAUGAUUCUUGUUCCCUCUUUCUUCUGCUUCUUAAAUCAUCUCUCUCAGUUAGACACGGUUUCUUGACCCAUGGACAUAGGAAUACCCUCUCACGUAAAAGAGAACGCCUCCAACAAAACUGUCUUCUCUUUCGUCUUCACAUUCCUUAGACAAGUGGGUUUCAACCUUCCCAAUGCUGCGACCCUUCAAUACAGUUCCUCACAUUGUGGUGACACUCAACCAUAAAAUUAUUCUUGUGGCUCCUUCAUAACUGUAAUUUUGCUAAUGUUAUGAAUAGUAAUGUAAAUAUCUGACAUGAGACCCUCCCCCCCCCCAAAAAAAAACUCACAGGUUAAGAAACACUGAUUUAGAUACUGUUAAAAUCUGUACACCACAAUGGCGCGUGCAUGCGCAUGCACACACACACACACACGUACUCAGAGAGACCUUAUAUUUACUAUCCUUGAAUAAUUGUGUUUACAUUGUCAUACUGCAAAUUGCCACCAAACCACCUCUCCAUGGCCAACCCCUUCAUAGUCCUUUCAGAUCUGUGAUGACUUGAUCUUAUUGUGAUGGUAUUUGAAUCCAGCUUUCACCAUCUCUGACCUUUCCUUUGGUUCCUUUGCUUACUCAUUUCCUUCUGCUGAUCUUUGAUAUCGGUAGCUCAUAAUCUUUCAUCCUUAGCUGUAUUCUUCAACUGCUGUAUUGUUGAUGGUUCUCUGCUCUCUGGAUUGAACAGAAACUCUACUCUUUAGUUCAUCUGCGUUCUUAGCAGUGCAGAAAGAAUGUCUUGCAUAGAUCUGCCUAUUUAUCUAUCUACACACAUAACACACACAUAUACUUUUAGUUAUUUUUACUAAUCCUUGCUCAUUUUACAGACUUAUGGGCUUCAUUAUGAUGGUGUGACUGUAUGUGUAAUAGACUUUUACCUUAUCAUUUUUAAUGCUUCUCCAUUGGCUGGGGAUGGAUGAGAAUACUAUAUGGUAGUUUGGAUGAGAAUGACCCCCAUAGGCUAAUAGACUUAAAUGCUUGGUUCCCAGUUUGGUGGAACUGUUUGAGAAGGAUUAUGGGAUGUGGUCUUGCUGGAACAGACGCGUUAAAGCCCUAUACCAUUCCCAGUUUUUCUCUCAUCUCUCUGUCUUAUUAUUGUUGUAUCAGGAUGUAAGGGGUCAGCUAUUGCCCCAGCACCAUUCCUACUUGCCUGGUGCCUUGCUCCCUGUGGUAAUGGUCAUGGAUUCACUCUCUGAAGCCACAAGGUCCCUACAAACUCUUUUGUAGGUUACCUUACUCAUGGUAUCUUAUCACAACAAUAAAGUAACUAAGACAUCUAGCAUGCAUAAAAAUCCCAGGAUCAAGCCCCAGCACCAAAAACCAAAAAAUAUUACUGCUUCUUUCUUUCUUAGUAGUCCCUUCCUCUUUCUAAGCAGUCACCAUGAGUCGUCUAGAUUUUACAUGUGAGAGAAAUAUCACAUUAUUUGUAUGAGUCUGGUUUAUUUAGCUUAAUAUGAUCAUCUUUAUUGUCCAUUUUCUUCCAAAUGACAGAAUCUAGUUGCUCUUAGUAGCUAGACAGUUCUCCACUGUGUGUGUGUGUGUGUGUGUGUGUGUGUGUGCCUGUGUCCAUGUCUGUGUGUGCAUGCGUCAGUGUGUGUUUCUGUGUAUGUUUGUUUUCCCAUAUUCUUUCAUUUGUAAAAACUGUUGUCUAAUUUUGCAUUACAAACCAUUCUGUCAGAUCCAGAAUUUACCAAUGUGUACUAUUUACAUGCACAUCGAUAUUUUAUGAUAUUCUGAUAUAAUACUUGUAGCAUUUAAAAAAUUCCUAUACAGCAUUAGGAUAAAACAUGACCUCACAGCCUUUUAUUUUUUUUUAAACAGAGUGGGAUAUAUAGAAGAUGGGUUAUAAGUCAAAACCUUUUGGAAAAUUCUGAAGAUUUGGAGGGGAUCACAGGUAGAGAAAUUUCUUCAGUUUCAAAAUAUGAAAGACCACAGGGGAGCUUCCUGGGAAAUCAUUGCCCUUUGAAAAAGUUUUUAAAAAUAAUUUAAGGUAUUUCUUGGAAGCUGAUUUCUGAGAAGUUAUGAAUAACUUCUCACCUAGCAUUGGGUAUAAACAAAUCUACCACUCAUUGCAUUCCUUAUAUAAAGUUUGGGAACCACCUUGAACCUUACAUUAUUCUACAAAUAUUCUAUAUUUAGCUAAGAACACAUACUUAAAUAUCUUAGGAACUAUAGUGCCUUACCAUACUGCAUAUCAGUCUGGAGGUAAGUAUUUCGUGUUUAUUGGUUGCAUUAAAUAAAUCACCUGGGGGACUUCGUGUUCAUACCUGGUAUGUUUGUGCUUCCCCGAACACUAGAGAAUACAGCGCUUACAUAACUCAAGCCACCACUUACUAAAGUGAGUAGGUCUAAAGUGGAUAAUAUCACUAGUGCAUGUUUAAGGAAAGCUGCCGACUGCCUGACAGGGCUGAUGGGACUUUUAAAAAUUAGUCGUCAAACUUUAGGUGUAAGAAUGUUUCAGUGGGAAAUUCUCCUCAGAUUGCUAAUCCCAUUCCAAAGCACCAAAUGGAAAGCUAAAAACUUAUUCUUGUGUACCUCUGAAUAAUAAAGAUAAUUCACAAUGUUCCGUGCAGUUUAUUUCUAAGGUCGUGUAAAGAAAUGGUGGAAUCUGAUCAGGUAACCUGGUCCUCACUUCCAAGAGGACUCUGAUGUGUUUGCAGAUGACAGGAAUGUGUUCUGAGAAUAAACCAGUGACAUUCACAGUUGUACGAGUUGGGAGACAUAGAAUGCUGAAAGCUAUGAAGCACCAGGGUGGUAGAAUGGGUCAUGAGCCUGAACAUGGUCAUGAGUGUUCCCAUGCGUGGAUUAUGAUGCGGCUAUGUGCCCAGGGCCUACGAGCCCCCUGCUAAAUGGUCUGUGAGUGUGGGGGUUGUAAGCGUGUGGUACCUGGUGAGAGAGGAAGGGGAAGUGACCAACAUACAAUUGGCUGGCCUGGGUUCCCUCAUGGAUGCUACCAGAAGAGAAAGAGGGAAGCACAGAAAGCAUUCCAGACCUUAAGAAUGGAAAGCAGAGCAGGCCUUCCAGACCUUAAGAAUGGAAAGCAGAGCAGGCCUUCCAGACCUUAAGAAUGGAAAGUAGAGCAGGCCUUCCAGACCUUAGCGAUGGAAAGCAGAGCAGGCCUUCCAGACCUUAGGGAUGGAAAGCAGAGCAGGCCUUCCAGACCUUAGGGAUGGAAAGCAGAGCAGGCCUUCCAGACCUUAGCGAUGGAAAGCAGAGCAGGCCUUCCAGACCUUAGCGAUGGAAAGCAGAGCAGGCCUUCCAGACCUUAGCGAUGGAAACUCUUGGGAAGGAUGAAGAAGGACUUGGGAUAGCUGGGGCUAGAAAUCAAAUCCUGCUUUUAUUGUACCUUCUAUUCAUAUGUCCAAUCUAUUGCUUUCAUUUCUAAUUCAUUUAGGUAGGAUAUUUUGUGUUCUACAACCGUCUUAUGUAUGCAUAUCUGUGUGUGUGUGUGUGUGUGUGUGUGUGUGUGUGUGUGUGUGUGUGUACUCUCUGGUACCUUUUCUAACGUGAUGAGAAUGUACUGAGGUGACUGUAUUUGCCAGAUGAUAUGUCUAGAAUGAUAUGAUGGUCUGUCUAGAAGAGCAAAGCAUAAUUCAUCAAGUCCUCAGUGUCCCACAGAUUCCUCUGUUCAUUCUUUCUCUCAAAAAAAAGUGCAUCCACUAGUGCCCUAAUGUGAAGACCAUCCACCUCAUGGCGAUUUCUACUGAAACCUCCCUCCCAUCUAUGCUGCUGGUUUUGCUGGUCACCCUCAUCCAUUCUUCAGCUCCCAGGCACUUCUUUCUGUGGCUUUCAGACUGAUCUUCUCACAGCUUUUCUAUAGCCAAAUGGCAUUGGCCUUUACACCUCACUACUGGGAACCCAACAAGGGCAGAACUGAGCUGCUCCCCGCUAGCCCUAGAAGAACCUCUGUGAGUAUUGAUGUCACUUGAUGAGCGUGUUCUGGGCAUCGCUAGAGCCAAUGCACUGUCAAUAAUGAUGCUGUCAGGCAGUUGGCUUUGAAUAGGACAAUAGGCAGUGUGCUCAGAAAAUUAAGUGGGGGGAAAAAAUCACCAGAAAUUCUAACAGCUUGGAGACAAGAGGUGAUGCUAAAGAAAGUAAAAACUGAAAAUGUAAAAACACCCUGAAAAAUCUCAGUCAGAGUGCACGUUAGCAUUUUAAGCUGCUUCUACUGCAUGAGUACUUAUUUUCAAUGGCAGAUCUUUGCUUCCUAUUGAGUGUUUUGUUUUGCAGGACCCGUUGCAAUGUGCACUGUGUCUGAAGACAGCGGACCGCAGGGACCUUGGAGAUCACUCAGCGCAAACGUGAAACCACUCGCUUCACAGUAUACAAGCAACCACGAGUGUUCGACAUCCAUCUUUACCUUUUCCUCCCCCUUUGGUCGUCAAGCCAGAAAAAUUGGCCAAUGGGUGACUAUAUACCUCAGUGUUAACCUGUCAGCACCGGUGAACACAGCAGCUUACAUCCGGGACCUCAGCAUGGGACAAAGGAGAACAAGGGUGCGACAGUGAACUCAAAAUGUCCAGAAACAUUGAGAGCAAGGGCUGGCUAAAUGCAUGACUGCUGUGGCCCGGAACAUCUGAAUGGCCUAUCCUAAAUGAGUUACACACACAGCUACUACCCUUUCUUCAUGAGAUUUUACAACAAGCUCUCCAAGGCUGGCUUCUCUAAACAGGAUUUACUUUAACUGAGGCCACGAGAAAACUGGAAACAGGAGAAAGCCUGGAACCAAAGAAGGUCUUGUGACUUACUGUUUACCUGGAAGCCUGAAGUGUGUGUUAUAGUUUCACCGCACUGAGAGGCCAAGCCUGCAUCUUUCAUCAUACAAAGAGCCUGCUGUGUCCUCCUGGGAUCUAUCAGUGAAGCACAGAGAUUCCCACUUAUUUUUUCCCUUUAGUUUUAUUCUGCCUGUUUGUUGACGUUGCCCAGAGCUUGUGUUCUAACUUUAUUACACCUGGUUGGUGAAGCCACCCUUCAUCUCUAGGAGAAAAUGACAGAAAGAUGUGGAAUCCGCCUCUGGAUGAGAACACAAAGUAGCUCUCAGAAGAAAAAGAAGUGGCCACACACAGGUAACAUUUUCAUGAGGUGACUCGGUGAGGUCAUGAGAUAGGCCCUACUCCACCCGUCUGGGAUGAGCUUGAUUGAGGCUGCUCUUUGGGUGCCUUUAAUUACAGGAUAAGGAUGGACUUGCAUCUCUGAAA